rnacentral:rRNA from 1 species
UACGUAGGGGGCAAGCGUUGUCCGGAAUUACUGGGCGUAAAGAGCUCGUAGGCGGUUUGUCGCGUCGUCUGUGAAAACUCGAGGCUCAACCUCGAGCUUGCAGGCGAUACGGGCAGACUUGAGUACUGCAGGGGAGACUGGAAUUCCUGGUGUAGCGGUGAAAUGCGCAGAUAUCAGGAGGAACACCGGUGGCGAAGGCGGGUCUCUGGGCAGUAACUGACGCUGAGGAGCGAAAGCGUGGGUAGCGAACAGG